rnacentral:rRNA from 1 species
UGCAGUCGAGCGAUCGAUGGGAGCUUGCUCCCUGAGAUUAGCGGCGGACGGGUGAGUAACACGUGGGCAACCUGCCUAUAAGACUGGGAUAACUUCGGGAAACCGGAGCUAAUACCGGAUACGUUCUUUUCUCGCAUGAGAGAAGAUGGAAAGACGGUUUACGCUGUCACUUAUAGAUGGGCCCGCGGCGCAUUAGCUAGUUGGUGAGGUAAUGGCUCACCAAGGCGACGAUGCGUAGCCGACCUGAGAGGGUGAUCGGCCACACUGGGACUGAGACACGGCCCACACUAAUACGGGAGGCAGCAGUAGGGAAUCUUCCGCAAUGGACGAAAGUCUGACGGAGCAACGCCGCGUGAACGAAGAAGGCCUUCGGGUCGUAAAGUUCUGUUGUUAGGGAAGAACAAGUACCAGAGUAACUGCUGGUACCUUGACGGUACCUAACCAGAAAGCCACGGCUAACUACGUGCCAGCAGCCGCGGUAAUACGUAGGUGGCAAGCGUUGUCCGGAAUUAUUGGGCGUAAAGCGCGCGCAGGUGGUUCCUUAAGUCUGAUGUGAAAGCCCACGGCUCAACCGUGGAGGGUCAUUGGAAACUGGGGAACUUGAGUGCAGAAGAGGAAAGUGGAAUUCCAAGUGUAGCGGUGAAAUGCGUAGAGAUUUGGAGGAACACCAGUGGCGAAGGCGACUUUCUGGUCUGUAACUGACACUGANGCNUGA